UUUGCGAAUUCACGUGCCAAACACAUCUGAUGCCAAUAGUGUAAACUAUUCAACCGCCACAGCUUGCCUCAACAACAAGUUCAUUCAGCUACAUGCCAACACAAUUACGACAAAAACGCUAGCAACAACCGGCAGUGACGGGUAAGAAACAAUAUCAAACAUUAGCAAGCGGCAUGGCAGCACAGUGGGGCCGUGAUGUCAAGAGUGAGGAAGGCAUUUAAUAAACGUUUUCAAAGAUCUUAGCAGCAGUAGACGUAUUUCCAAUGAGCUCUUCAGGAAGGAGGAUAUAUUUAAUCUCAUGCCGAUGGGUCGUUCGUGUCCGGCCAAUUCGUUGAGAAAUCAUGAAUUUUGGAUGAAACUACUGAUAUGUUUAGUUAAAGCUUAAAAGACAUGCACGAACGAUCAACCUAUGGAGAUUAAAAAAAUUAACUACACACCGAAAUUUCGAGUCAAUGAAUGCAACUCUAAGGACACUUAGAGGAAUUAGAAAUCUUUCUCUCAGUCCAAAUUGUGGUUAAUUUAGUGUUAAGGUUUUGGUUUACACUCUUGCAAGAUCAAAUUAACUCAAGAAAUGAGGAGCCAAACAGCAUUAGAAGACCGAAAAGGGCGAUAUCGAAAUGAUCCAUAUUUCAGUCGGCAUGCGUAGAAGAGUGGUCCAAGCUUGACAUCAAGGAAUUGAAUGCUGCAAUUGGUGAUAUGAACAGUGUGGAAUUAAAUUUAAAACCUAGAAUAAAUUUUAGCUCGAUAUCUCAAUUACUCUGUAUUUUAUUUAAGGGGGG